rnacentral:misc_RNA from 1 species
AAAGUCGUAACAAGGUUUCCGUAGGUGAACCUGCGGAAGGAUCAUUAUAAAUACUUGGUUUCAUUACCAUACUAUUAAUGUGCAACCAUCUUGCCGGCUGCCAGGUGUAGUAGUACUAAGUCAUAUUGUUUGGCUUAUACUUACCUGGCAGUCAACCAUAAUUACUUACUAUUGAUUAUCAGCCAUAUGUUAUCUGUUAUCAGUACUUGUGUGACCAUGGUCAUGCUUGCACUGCUCUGACUACUAUAAGGGUAAAAAACUUUUAGCAACGGAUCUCUAGGCUCUC